CCUACGGGCGGCAGCAGUGGGGAAUAUUGCACAAUGGGGGAAACCCUGAUGCAGCGACGCCGCGUGAGUGAAGAAGUAUUUCUGUAUUGAAAGCUCUGUCAGCAGGGGAGUAAAUGACGGUACCUGACCAAAAAGCCCCGGCUAACUACGUGCCAUAAGCCGCGGUAAUACGUAGGGGGCAAGCGUUAUCCGGAUUUACUGGGUGUCAAGGGGGCGUAGACGGGUGGGCAAGUCUGGAGUGAAAGGCGGUGGCUCAACCCUCGGACUGCUCUGGAAACUGGCAGGCGGGAGUGCAGGAGAGGUAAGUGGAAUGCCUAGUGUAGCGGUGAAAUGCGUAGAUAUUAGGAGGAACACCAGUGGCGAAGGCGGCUUACUGGACUGUAACUGACGUUGAGGCUCGAAAGCGUGGGGAGCAAACAGGAUUAGAUACCCGAGUAGUC
rnacentral:rRNA from 1 species